CCUACGGGUGACUGCAGUGAGGCAUAUUGGUCAAUGGACGAGAGUCUGAACCAGCCAAGUAGCGUGAAGGAUGACUGCCCUCUGGGUUGUAAACUUCUUUUAUAAAGGAAUAAAACGUGGCACGUGUGCCUUUUUGCAUGUACUUUAUGAAUGAGGAUCCGCUAACUCCGUGCCAGCAGCCGCGGUAAUACGGAGGAUCCGAGCGUUAUCCGGAUUUCUUGGGUUUAAAGGGAGCGUAGAUGGGUUGUUAAGUCAGUUGUGAAAGUUUGCGGCUCAACCGUAAAAUUGCAAUUGGUACUGGCAGUCUUGAGUACAGUUGAGGUAGGCGGAAUUCGUGGUGUAGCGGUGAAAUGCUUAGAUAUCACGAAGAACCCCGAUUGCGAAGGCAGCUUACUAAACUGUGACUGACAUUGAUGCUCGAAAGUGUGGGGAUCAAACAGGAUUAGAUACCCGAGUAGUC
rnacentral:rRNA from 1 species